rnacentral:lncRNA from 1 species
GCUUCUUGCUGCUUCCCGACUUUCCCUCCAUCUAUGACUCUGAUGUCAUGGGGAAUUUCCUAUGAUCAUUUGAUGAGGAAGAAGGGGACAGUGCCGGAUUUCAGACGAACUAGAGAACAGGCCGCCUAUUGUCUUGAGACCUCAGCAGACACUGAGAAAAAGAGGGCAGGAAGAGUCCCUACUGUGCAAAUGUGCCUUGCAGCUGGUGGCAUUCUCUGCUGACAGAUCCUGCACAGAUGUUCCUUGAAGUGCUGGCAGCAUAUUGAUGUACUUGACUGAUUUCAUCAAUCCCUGUGUUGAACUAUGGGGCACUGAAAGCCAGGGUCUGAGUCAGGUGAAAAAACAAACCUGAAGAUACAAGAAUGAAAACCAACUGACUUAGGGAGGAACUAACUCCCAUCCAGCUCAUGCUUCCACACAGAAGGACUUUCUCCCAGGAGUAGCUAACCUGACCUAUCACCUUUGAUUUUCGUUAUCCUCCUGUGCAAUAGCCAUAUGGAGAGUUUGGAAGAAGGAGCCAGGUAUCCGCAGCUCAAGCUUCUGUCUCCAGAGAGGAAAUAUGGUCUGCUCUUCUGACUAUAGGGUACUUGCUGUCAUGCUGUCUUCAGGGACUGGAUUCAGGAGGAAGUGGCAUGAUUAGUUCAACUCAAACAUCUAUUAACAAUCCUAACUGGUGAUAAGUAAAGCCAAGUCCUUUGUUAUAGUACCAAAGCU